AGUCACUGACAUUAGAUACCCCUGUAGUCCAGGGUGUAAACGCUGCAGACUUGGUGUUGGAAGCCCUUUGGGGGCAUUCAGUGCCGGAGAGAAGUUGUUAAGUCUGCUACUUGGGGAGUACGUCCGCAAGGAUGAAACUUAAAGGAAUUGGCGGGGGAGCACCGCAACGGGAGGAGCGUGCGGUUUAAUUGGAUUCAACACCGUAAAACUCACCAGGGAAGACUGUUACAUGAAGGCCGAGAUGAAGACUCUGCCAGAUUUUCAG
rnacentral:rRNA from 1 species